rnacentral:rRNA from 1 species
GACGUAGGGCGCGAGCGUUGUCCGGAUUUAUUGGGCGUAAAGAGCUCGUAGGCGGCUUGUCGCGUCGUCCGUGAAAACCCACAGCUCAACUGUGGGCUUGCGGUCGAUACGGGCAGGCUGGAGUUCGGUAGGGGAGACUGGAAUUCCUGGUGUAGCGGUGAAAUGCGCAGAUAUCAGGAGGAACACCGGUGGCGAAGGCGGGUCUCUGGGCCACUACUGACGCUGAGAAGCGAAAGCAUGGGGAGCGAACAGG